GGGGCCUUAGCUCAGCUGGUAGAGCGCUACACUGGCAGUGUAGAGGUCAGGGGUUCGACUCCCCUAGGCUCCACCA
rnacentral:tRNA from 17 species